GGGGACCGAGACUGAGUUUGCGGCGCGAGGUUUAGGGGAGCAUGUGUGUGUGAGAGAGAGAUGGGGAGGGGGGAAUCUGCAGGAUGAAAACCCUAGGGUGCUCAGGCUAGGACACGGGGAGGGCGAGGGUUCCACUUGCUGAUGAUCGGGGACUACCCUUGAGCCCCACGAGGGCUGGGGAGUGCAGCGGGUUUGCAGUGAGAGGGGGAAAAGGUAGGGGCGUCCCUCCUUCCCGCGCCACAGCCCCCCUAACUGUUGCCGGACGUGCAGUCUCGAUCACUUGCCCGGCCGCUGCAGCACGUUGGGCCACCCCAGCCAGGGCGUCAGGCGAGGGAACGGUGUGGAACCCGGGGCCACUCCUUCACCGGCAUGCACGCCUCUUAAGAGCUGCGGAGCAACAGCCCGCUCGCCCCACGCCUACGUCUCCCUGAUUGUCCUACUGAGAGUGGGAUGCCAGCCACCCGCCAAAUAACUGUGAGGACACCCACUAUGGAGAGAAAAGCAGAGACACAAAGCAAAGGCGGAUCACUGAUGCGCAAACACCGAGCAUCUUCUGUGCCUGACUGCAGCGGAGGAUGGAGAGGGGCCUGGCACGGGCUGAUUCACACCGUCAGUCAUACGCUGGCUGGGAAAUUACUAAUAAUGAGAACUCGGGCUGAAUAAUAGUUGCUUGAGGACAGUACUGGAGUUUUGCUCUAGUUAGGUAUAAUAUUUAUUUGCUAAUAAACCAAUAAAAAUUACGUUUUGUGUCUCACAAA